GACGAACGCUGGCGGCGUGCCUAAUACAUGCAAGUAGAACGCUGAAACUUGGUGCUUGCACCGAGCGGAUGAGUUGCGAACGGGUGAGUAACGCGUAGGUAACCUGCCUGGUAGCGGGGGAUAACUAUUGGAAACGAUAGCUAAUACCGCAUAAGAGUAGAUGUUGCAUGACAUUUGCUUAAAAGGUGCAAUUGCACCACUACCAGAUGGACCUGCGUUGUAUUAGCUAGUUGGUGGGGUAACGGCUCACCAAGGCGACGAUACAUAGCCGACCUGAGAGGGUGAUCGGCCACACUGGGACUGAGACACGGCCCAGACUCCUACGGGAGGCAGCAGUAGGGAAUCUUCGGCAAUGGACGGAAGUCUGACCGAGCAACGCCGCGUGAGUGAAGAAGGUUUUCGGAUCGUAAAGCUCUGUUGUAAGAGAAGAACGAGUGUGAGAGUGGAAAGUUCACACUGUGACGGUAUCUUACCAGAAAGGGACGGCUAACUACGU
rnacentral:rRNA from 1 species